rnacentral:lncRNA from 12 species
GAACAGUCAGUUGCCUUCCUUACCAACCAAAGCUGCGGUCUAUUUCAGGUGUACCAAAAAAGGACUGAACAUUUGAUGAGAAAAGACAUGAGAACUAAAAUGUUAAGUAUAAACACAUAUGGAGAAACAAUCCUCUUUGCUCAGAAAAAGGGAAGAUUGUCAUCUUGUUACCUCUCCUUGCUUUUACACAGUAGACAGGACAGCAUCAGCACAAAAGCACAGGAAUUAAUAUCUGUUAGUUGCAUUAGCAAUCAGCUCUAAAACAAUGACAGGAUUAACUAAUCUUCAAGACAAUGUACC